ACGCUCGACACCUACGGGAAGCAGCAGUGGGGAAUAUUGCACAAUGGGGGAAACCCUGAUGCAGCGACGCCGCGUGAGCGAAGAAGUAUUUCGGUAUGUAAAGCUCUAUCAGCAGGGAAGAAGAAAGACGGUACCUGACUAAGAAGCCCCGGCUAACUACGUGCCACAGCCGCGGUAAUCUGAGCGGGCUGGCAAGGC
rnacentral:rRNA from 1 species